CCUACGGGGGACAGCAGUGAGGAAUAUUGGUCAAUGGACGCGAGUCUGAACCAGCCAAGCCGCGUGCAGGAUGACUGCCCUAUGAGUUGUAAACUGCUUUUAUAUGAGGAUAAACCGUUCUACGCGUGUGUUUUUGAAUGUACCGUACGAAUACGGAUCGGCUAACUCCGUGCAAGCAGCCGCGGUAAUACGGAGGAUCCGAGCGUUAUCCGGAUUUAUUGGGUUUAAAGGGUGCGUAGGCGGUCGGUUAAGUCAGAUGUGAAAGCCCGAGGCUCAACUGGAGAAUUGCAGUUGAAACUGGCAGGCUUGAGAGUAGUAGCGGUAGGCGGAAUGCGUGGUGUAGCGGUGAAAUGCUUAGAGAUCACGAAGAACACCGAUUGCGAAGGCAGCUUACUGGGCUACAACUGACGUUGAGGCACGAAAGCGUGGGUAGCAAACAGGAUUAGAUACCCGUGUAGUC
rnacentral:rRNA from 1 species